UUGAACGCUGGCGGCAUGCUUUACCCAUGCCAGUCGAACGGUAACAGGCCGCAAGGUGCUGACGAGUGGCGAACGGGUGAGUAAUGCAUCGGAACGUGCCCAGUCGUGGGGGAUAACUACUCGAAAGAGUAGCUAAUACCGCAUACGAUCUAUGGAUGAAAGCGGGGGACCGUAAGGCCUCGCGCGAUUGGAGCGGCCGAUGUCAGAUUAGGUAGUUGGUGGGGUAAAGGCUCACCAAGCCAACGAUCUGUAGCUGGUCUGAGAGGACGACCAGCCACACUGGGACUGAGACACGGCCCAGACUCCUACGGGAGGCAGCAGUGGGGAAUUUUGGACAAUGGGCGCAAGCCUGAUCCAGCAAUGCCGCGUGCAGGAAGAAGGCCUUCGGGUUGUAAACUGCUUUUGUACGGAACGAAACGGCUCUGGUUAAUACCCGGGGCUAAUGACGGUACCGUAAGAAUAAGCACCGGCUAACUACGUG
rnacentral:rRNA from 1 species